AAUCCUUGAAUACGGAGACACCUAUUUUCUCUUCUGUUCUUGACUGCCUCUUGCACUUGACUCUGCUUUUAAGACUGCAAAACGGGAAAGUGGCUACCCUGAGAAAAAUCUGGGGUAAGCGUGUUUGACCAUGGCUGCGUUCUGAAGGAUUCUCUGGUAAAGGGAAGAGACCUGUUUCAGAGAUUUACCUUUGCCGGAGCAAAAAUUAUCCAAGCUGCCUUCAUAAUACAUCUUAUAUUUCUGCUGAGAUAACAAAGAUAGGUAACAAUUAAUGCAAGAUUUGAAAUGACUGUCAGCCUACAUGAGCCUUGAUAGAGACCUUCACAAAGAACCUCUUGACUGGUUGUCAGAGAUCGUUUUCCUUUGCUGUCACGUUGGGCUGUAUGCCAGCCUGCAGUCCGGAGGUGAAUGAUUCUGUAGCGACACGUGAAAACUAUUAAAUAGUCUUGUCUGAACUUGAAUAGUCUAUGCCGAACAGAAUAUAAAAUGAUAAUUAUGAAGAAGUUUGUGGAUGAUAUGAUGUGCAGUGAGUUUGACUGUGCAUUUUGUACGUAUUCCAUGCCAAAUUUAUGAAUGAAUACUCAACUUCUUCACAGGGAUGCACGCUGACUUGCCUGUUGGAAGGAAUGCAACAUGCUGAAACGAAAACAAGCAACUGUUGGCUCUGAGCAGGUCCUAGAGUUUCAUGGAGCUGAAAAUACUGAAGUGAAACCUUUUCAUCGACAGUAUGUUCCAGCCUUCUCUGGGCAUACUGUCCCUGCUGACUCCGGGCAACCAGGGAUGCAAUUGCUCACUCAAGCUUAAACGGGUCCUACCGGGACUCGUGGAGGGGCUGUGUAGCAUAUGGCCUGCAAAGGUUGAGUUAUUUCUUCUGAUCUUAGCUUCUGUGAAACGCAACGGUGUAAACUUGAACAACCAUGGUCAUUGCUCUUAGGACAAUGAGUAUAUUUUUUUUGCUGGCAAGAAUCCCUUGCAAGAUCUGCUUUAUUUUCUCAUACUAUUCUUUUCGUUGCCAGCACUAGUAGUUAGCCCGUUAUAAUUCAACUCCCACUCUGGGCAGGCUUCCUCCUGUGUUCACUAAGAAAGCAUGCUGGCUGCAAGGAUAGGAUGUUCAUUUUCACAGUUCAUGUGAACUGUAGGACAGAGGACGAGAUCGCAAUGUUCUCACGAUUCUCUCUUAAUGCCAGCAUUUAAUGAUCCAUUGCACUUUUUUCCUUUGUGCUAAAUACCACCAAAAUAACAUGUUUAUUUUUCUUCCUUCUUAUGAUGAUGAGAGUAGACAGAGUGCAACUGUCUUGUCUUCUCCACCUGUUCUUUUGUGCGUGAAUGACCAGAACAUACUGAUAAUGUCCCUUUGCGCUCCGAGGCUGCAGUUCUCUACUAACCUUGUUAUAUCAGAUCUCGGGAAUGGAAAGAGGAAGAAAAUGUGUCUGUACUUCUGUGCAAGCUUCUUUUUUUAAACCGAAAGAUCUUCAAAUACUGCCCAUUUGGGAAAGAAUAAGAAUAGAAAAUGAGCAUCCAGUUUUCCAUGGAUCCCAAAGUUUUGAUUUGUUCCUGUUUGAUAAAUUGUCACUUUUUUUCCCUCAAGGUGUAGUUAACAGAAUAUAUCACCUGCAAAACCAGAUUUGAAUUUAUGUAACUUAAGGGGAUGGACUUUUCCUUGCUAGUCGGUGACAGCGAUCUGAUUCCGCUCCCAAAUGCGAUCAGACAGAUUUUAUUCUCUCCCCUCCUGCCCUCCACCUCCAGGACAUUUACAGGUGGGCAUGGGUAAACUUUCCUAGCGAGGUAAUGCCAGAAAUGUCUUCAGGGUUUUUAUAAGUUUUAUCCUUUUUUUAGUGAUCAUAGUUGAGCCCAAACAACUUGCUUUUUAACUACCAGAUGUUCAGUGUUGGUUUUGGCAGAGCUCUACAGACCCAGGUUUCUUUAUCAGGACUAAUAUUUUCUUGAAUUUGCAUUUUGAUGCAAAUGUGUUGUAGAUGAUCUAUCUGAUAACAGUAACUAAUGCACACUAAUAUUAUGGCUUAAUUUUUAUUUUUUUUUUUACUAUAAAUCAUUCUGAUUUGCUUUUUAAAAUUGAAGCAAAGGCUGAUGUAAUGCUUCUGCCAUCCUUUGGUUUUGUAAAAUAUUUUUUGAUUCAAGUAUUAUUUAUUUACUCAUGACAAUGAGUCACCAGUAGACAAAUAGAUCAUUUACUCUGCUUGCAGUAGGUUAACAGUAAGUGUUGAAAACUGACAAAGGGACUUGUUUUUAACAGUUUCGUAUCAUUGUAGUUGUACUUUUGAGGAUGGAAGACUAUAGUAGCUUGGCUAUCUAAGCUAACAGAAAAGAAGAAGGUUGUACUGUAAGCUGAUGUUCUAUGUGGCAUUCCUUCUGCACGUGUAACAGGGAGGGAAUUGGAUUCAACUGUCUGUUAUUUCUGGAUGGUUCCACUUGUUUCAUUACAAUUGUGGGAAUAAGUCCCGUGUUGUUGAAA